UCCUACGGGAGGCAGCAGUGGGGAAUAUUGGACAAUGGGCGAAAGCCUGAUCCAGCAACGCCGCGUGAGGGAUGACGGCCUUCGGGUUGUAAACCUCUUUCAGUAGGGACGAAGCUAACGUGACGGUACCUACAGAAGAAGCACCGGCCAACUACGUGCCAGCAGCCGCGGUAAUA
rnacentral:rRNA from 1 species